UACGUAGGGACCAAGCGUUGUCCGGAAUCAUUGGGCGUAAAGAGCGUAUAGGCGGCUUGUUAAGUCUUGCGUGAAAUCUCGGGGCUCAACCCCGAGCGGUCGUGAGAAACUGGCAGGCUAGAGUGCGGGAGAGGAGAGUGGAAUUCCUGGUGUAGCGGUGAAAUGCGCAGAUAUCAGGAAGAACACCCGUGGCGAAGGCGGCUCUCUGGAACGCAACUGACGCUGAGACGCGAAAGCGUGGGGAGCAAACAGG
rnacentral:rRNA from 1 species